rnacentral:rRNA from 1 species
CCGAACGAAGGAUUGUGAAGGAACUUUACGGAGGGAAAACACAAUGACUCAUUGGCGGACGGGUGAGUAACGCGUAGGGAACCUGGCCCUUACAGGGGGAUAACAGAUGGAAACAACUGCUAAUACCGCAUAAGCGCCCAGCCUCGCAUGAGGCAGAGUGAAAAACUAAGGUGGUAAGGGAUGGCCCUGCGUCCGAUUAGCUAGUUGGUAUGGUAACGGCAUACCAAGGCGACGAUCGGUAGCCGGCCUGAGAGGGUGGACGGCCACAUUGGGACUGAGACACGGCCCAAACUCCUACGGGAGGCAGCAGUGGGGGAUAUUGCACAAUGGGGGAAACCCUGAUGCAGCGACACCGCGUGGGUGAAGAAGCGCUUCGGCGUGUAAAGCCCUAUCAGUGGGGAAGAAAAAGGACGGUACCCAAAGAAGAAGCACCGGCUAAAUACGUGCCAGCAGCCGCGGUAAUACGUAUGGUGCAAGCGUUAUCCGGAAUGACUGGGUGUAAAGGGAGCGUAGACGGUUGUACAAGUCUGAUGUGAAAGCCCACGGCUCAACUGUGGGAGUGCAUUGGAAACUGUAGAACUAGAGUAUCGGAGAGGCAAGUGGAAUUCCUAGU